GAUGAACGCUGGCGGCGUGCCUAAUACAUGCAAGUCGAGCGAACAGACGAGGAGCUUGCUCCUCUGACGUUAGCGGCGGACGGGUGAGUAACACGUGGAUAACCUACCUAUAAGACUGGGAUAACUUCGGGAAACCGGAGCUAAUACCGGAUAAUAUAUUGAACCGCAUGGUUCAAUAGUGAAAGACGGUUUUGCUGUCACUUAUAGAUGGAUCCGCGCCGCAUUAGCUAGUUGGUAAGGUAACGGCUUACCAAGGCAACGAUGCGUAGCCGACCUGAGAGGGUGAUCGGCCACACUGGAACUGAGACACGGUCCAGACUCCUACGGGAGGCAGCAGUAGGGAAUCUUCCGCAAAGGGCGAAAGCUUGACGGAGCAACGCCGCGUGAGUGAUGAAGGUCUUCGGAUCGUAAAACUCUGUUAUUAGGGAAGAACAAAUGUGUAAGUAACUAUGCACAUCUUGACGGUACCUAAUCAGAAAGCCACGGCUAACUACGUG
rnacentral:rRNA from 1 species